CACAAGCGGUGGAGUAUGUGGUUUAAUUCGAUGCAACGCGAAGAACCUUACCUAGGUUGACAUCCGAGACCUUCCCGAAAGGAAGGGUGCCCUUCGGGGAAUUCCGAGACAGGUGCUGCAUGGCUGUCGUCAGCUCGUGCCGUGAGGUGUUGGGUUAAGUCCCGCAACGAGCGCAACCCUAUUGCCAGUUGCUACCAGGUAAUGCUGGGCACUCUGGUGAGACUGCCCCGGUUAACGGGGAGGAAGGCGGGGACGACGUCAAGUCAUCAUGGCCCUUACGCCUAGGGCUACACACGUACUACAAUGGCGCAUACAAAGGGCAGCGAUACCGCGAGGUGGAGCCAAUCCCAAAAAGUGCGUCCCAGUCCGGAUUGCAGUCUGCAACUCGACUGCAUGAAGUUGGAAUCGCUAGUAAUUCGAGAUCAGCAUGCUCGGGUGAAUGCGUUCCCGGGCCUU
rnacentral:rRNA from 1 species